rnacentral:rRNA from 1 species
UCGGGACAGCGGCGGACGGGUGAGUAACGCGUUGGAAUCUACCUCGAACUCAGGGAUAGCCCACUGAAAAGUGGAUUAAUACCGGAUGGUCCCGCAAGGGUAAAGCUUCGGCGGUUCGAGAGGAGCCUGCGUACUAUCAGCUUGUUGGUGAGGUAAUGGCUCACCAAGGCUAUGACGGUUAGCUGGUCUGAGAGGAUGAUCAGCCACAAUGGAACUGAGACACGGUCCAUACUCC